rnacentral:rRNA from 1 species
AUUGAACGCUGGCGGCAGGCCUAACACAUGCCAGUCGAGCGGAUGAGGGGAGCUUGCUCCCUGAUUUAGCGGCGGACGGGUGAGUAAUGCCUAGGAAUCUGCCUGGUAGUGGGGGAUAACGUUCCGAAAGGAACGCUAAUACCUCAUACGUCCUACGGGAGAAAGCAGGGGACCUUCGGGCCUUGCGCUAUCAGAUGAGCCUAGGUCGGAUUAGCUAGUUGGUGAGGUAAUGGCUCACCAAGGCGACGAUCCGUAACUGGUCUGAGAGGAUGAUCAGUCACACUGGAACUGAGACACGGUCCAGACUCCUACGGGAGGCAGCAGUGGGGAAUAUUGGACAAUGGGCGAAAGCCUGAUCCAGCCAUGCCGCGUGUGUGAAGAAGGUCUUCGGAUUGUAAAGCACUUUAAGUUGGGAGGAAGGGCUGCUGGUUAAUACCCUGCAGUUUUGACGUUACCAACAGAAUAAGCACCGGCUAACUUCGUG